CGCGUAGGCGGAAGAUCAAGUCAGGGGUGAAAGGCCUGGGCUCAACCCGGGAACUGCCUUUGAAACUGGUUUUCUAGAGUACGGGAGAGGAUGGCGGAAUUCCCAGUGUAGAGGUGAAAUUCGUAGAUAUUGGGAAGAACACCGGUGGCGAAGGCGGCCAUCUGGCCCGGUACUGACGCUAAGGCGCGAAAGCGUGGGGAGCAAACAGGAUUAGAUACCCUGGUAGUCC
rnacentral:rRNA from 1 species